rnacentral:rRNA from 1 species
GAUGAACGCUGACAGAAUGCUUAACACAUGCAAGUCUACUUGAACUUCGGUUUGGGUGGCGGACGGGUGAGUAACGCGUAAAGAACUUGCCUCACAGAUAGGGACAACAUUUGGAAACGAAUGCUAAUACCUGAUAUUAUGAUUUUAGGGCAUCCUAGAAUUAUGAAAGCUAUAUGCACUGUGAGAGAGCUUUGCGUCCCAUUAGCUAGUUGGAGAGGUAACGGCUCACCAAGGCGAUGAUGGGUAGCCGGCCUGAGAGGGUGAUCGGCCACAAGGGGACUGAGACACGGCCCUUACUCCUACGGGAGGCAACAGUGGGGAAUAUUGGACAAUGGACCAAGAGUCUGAUCCAGCAAUUCUGUGUGCACGAUGAAGUUUUUCGGAAUGUAAAGUGCUUUCAGUUGGGAAGAAAAAAAUGACGGUACCAACAGAAGAAGUGACGGCUAAAUACGUG